rnacentral:rRNA from 1 species
AUGAAGUCUCGAAAUCUCUACUCCCUUCGCGAGGAUCUAAACAAGGCAGCGGUUGCUGUAAUCUGGAUGCCCCUCUUCUUCUGGAUACCCAUCGGCUGCGCGUUCUUCCGCUUGAACGGCCUGCCUCCCAAGUUCUCCCUUCAGGUCACCGACGCCACGAGUCCCGAAGCUCCCCAGACGGCGGUUCCGGCCGACCCCGUCUCCAGCAGCACCGCCUUCAACCUCACCCUGCAUGCCGUCAACCGGCGCCCCGGGGACAGGUGCUACCGCCACGGCGAGGCGGCUGUGCUCUACUCCGGCCUCACCGUCGCGUGGGGCCGCACGCCGCGCUUCUGCGUGGGCGCGAUGGAUGCACGGGACGUGACCGUCGUGGCGUGGGCCGACGACGGCGUCGAGCUGCCUACGUUGCUCAGAGACAAGAUGGCGGCGGAGCGGCGUGCCGGCUCGGUGGAGCUCGAGGUCGAUGUGCGGCUGUUCCGGGGCGACGACGGCUCGGCCAGACCCACGUGGAUGCGGUGCAAGGUGACGACGGGUGGGCCGAAGCCGCCGGACGGGGUUCCAUGCACCGUGUUCGCUCAGAAGAACUGGGCCUCGGAUAUCGGCCCGUAUUGGAUGCAGACGCUUAUGGCCUCUGGGUGUAGUCGGCUCGAAACGAUUGUGCAUGAUUUAUUCAAUCAGUUUGGUUGA